GACCGGCGCACGGGUGAGUAACGCGUACACUACCUACCUUUUACUGAGGGAUAGCCUUUGGAAACGAAGAGUAAUACCUCAUGGUCCCUACGGGGUAAAGUUCAGGCGGUAAGAGAUGGGUGUGCGUACCAUUAGCUAGUUGGUAAGGUAACGGCUUACCAAGGCUACGAUGGUUAGGGGGCGUGAGAGCGUGAUCCCCCACACGGGUACUGAGACACGGACCCGACUCC
rnacentral:rRNA from 1 species